UACUAAGAAAUAGGGAUAUAGAUGAUGAUUAAAAUGAUUAAUGGGAUGGGGGAAGGGAGAGCAUCCCCAAUUAGCCGCCCGUUUCCAUCCAUAAUUUUGAUUCGUAAGCAAUGUACGCUGAGGCGGGAAUAUAAAAGAAAGAAAAUACAAGAGACUAAAAAUGAUUUAAGAAUAAUAAAAGUGCCGAGGAGCCACGCGGCGCGAAUACGAAAGAAGGAAGGCGGAAUGUUUUUGUUUUGAGACAUUUGGCAUGAAGCCCGCCGGAAUCUGAACCACAAUAUAAAGCACUUUUUUAUCUUUCUUUUAAUAUAUUAUCAUCACUAGCACUAGUACUACUCAUUCUAACUCCUCAACUCCACGCCGCACCUUUAGAAAUUUCUCUUAUAUUUUCCCAACACCCAACCAAACACACUACUAACUAAACUAGCUUUGCAGAUUGCAGUAGUUCAUUUUCUAAUUUCUUCCAUUGAUGAAUAUUGAAGACCGACGUUUUGUGGUUUCUGAUAGUUCAUCUAUUGAUGUGGUGGGCCGGAUUUCAUAGUUGGAAAGUAAGAAGACUGACAAUCCCUUGUUGAUGGUGCAGCACUUCUUACAUAUUGCAGUUGGAAACUUUGACCUAAAGUUCUCUUAUCGGGUAAGGAAGGAUUUUACAUUAUGUUUCUAAUAUAUCAUAGUUGUAUGUGCCUUUGCAAUGCUGUUACUUAUUGAGUGAGUUUGUAUGUUAGUGUGAUGUCUGCAACAUGUGAAUGGAAAGUAUAUUGCUCUUUUAGACUGUAAUGUCAGUCUGGAGUGCAUUUUCUGCUACCUAUAGGAUUGAAGUUGAUUUAACUUCUUUUAGCAUGACCUUAUUAUCAGUGACUGCAUCUGUUUUUUUUUUUUUAUUUAUUUUUUAAAAUUUUGUACAAGACAGUUUGUCCAAUAUUGCAGGUCCUUAACUGCACUUUUUAGAUCACCUUGCCCAUAGCAUUAUGACAUUAGUUGAAAGUGAUAUGGGUUGGUGGACUCCUUGAAAUUAAAAUAAAUAUGAAUGUUUUUGACUAAAAAGUGGGCAGUUCAAGGAUGAAACUGGUAGAGUUAUGGUGCUUACUUUGUAAUCAUGCUAGAAUUAUUUUCUCAUCCUGUCCAGUUUCUCCAGUUGUGAACUCUUGUUUCUUCCACAACCCCACCCUUUUGUUUGUCAUAGGGUUGAUCUUAAAAUCUAUUCAAUAUUCUUAUAAAUAUGGGCCUUGCCAAGAACGUUGCUUAUUAAGUGAGUUUGUUUGUUAAUGUGGACAUCUAGAACACGUGAAUGAAAAUUAUAUUGCUCAGGCCGGGGAGCAUUUUCUGGUACCAUUAAGAUUCUGAGUGUUCUUUUAGCAUGACCUUAUUGUCAGUGUAAUUUUCAGCUCUUCAUUUUCGAAAUGUUGUGUGAAGGUAGUCUCGUUAGUGUUGUUCAGUAUUACAGGCUCUCAAAUGACACAUCUACAUUGUCCAGAGCCAUAUGAAAUUGGUUGAAAAUUAUAUGGGUUGGUAGUUUCCUGGAAAAUUAUAUUAAAAUUAAAGUUUUUGGUUAAAUAGAGGCAUUUCGAGAAUUGAACUCAGGACCUUUUCCACCUAAAGUGAGAAUCAUACCACUAGACCAAAUGCCCACUGAUGUUUAUCUUGCAAUCUAUAUGUUUUAAACAGGAUAUUGGUUUUUUUUUUCGCUCCAUAAUUUCUCUUGUUGUUCUGCUUAAUUGACUUCUUCUAUGUUCCAUUUUUCUUCUGUACUUUGUUUAUAAACUCAGGGUACAUUUUUCCUUGGUGUUGUGACACUCAUACAUAAUAGAAGAUUGUCUUUACUUGAAAAGGUAAAAAAAUCACUCUUAUAAAUGAAUUAGCUGGCCUCUAAUAUAUAACAAAGAAUUGUAUGUUUUAUUUGUAUAAUUAUUUUAGUUGCAAUUCUAAGAUACUGAUGUAUGUACAAUUACCAAUAAAUAGGCAAACACCCUUUGCCGAGUCAGGACCAGGUUACACUUAACUUUAAAAUAUCAAAGUGAAAGCUGAUUGUGGUCUUCGUCUUCCUGUUAAUUUAUUGGAUAGGUAUUAAUUAUAUUAGAACAAAACUGAAUACUGUACUAGUUAGCAAAUUUUUUGCAAUAACAGAUCAAAUAAAAGUAACACUAUGUUAAGUCAUUCCAAGAAUUGAACUAGAGACUUUUCACACCCUAAGCGAGAAUCAUACCACUUGACCAAAUGCCCACUAAUGUUCUUUUCAUAUUUAUGUUGCAGAGGAUUGAUUUCUUUUGUUGUAUAAUGUUUUUAGUUGCCAUUCCUAAUGUAUAGUGUCAACUUACUACUGUUUUUUUUUUUUUUUCAUUUAUAAACUUUGUGUUGUUUGCCUUGGUGUUCUUUGAUACAUAACAGGAGUACAUUCAAUAAAUAUAUACCACAUAAUAUAGGUUUGUCCAUUUAAAUAUUUUAAUUUAUGAUGGACAUCAAGAAAAGCACAUGCUUUUGAGUAAUGAUCAUCUAGCGCUUUAUACAUGGCUUUUCAACUUCAAUUUUGUGAGUUUUUCAGUGGCCUAAAUAUGUCCUUGUGUCUGAGAACAUGGUCUAUUUGGGGAUUCUUUGUAAGAUGUGUAUGGACAUAUGUUUAGCUAUUCUAUGCUUUCAGUUAUGAAUUUAUUAUCAAACUGGAUUUUGCAAUAUUUAAGAUGAGAGGUUUAAAUCUUCAGGUGGUAAUGGUAUACAAAUAUAAUUGACAGGAUUUCUUUUCUUUUAUUCUUCUUUUUUUUUUGGGGACAAAUGUGUUUGCAAGUUUUACUGUGGUCACAAAAUUAUUAGCAUUCAACAUCUUUAGCUAGUGUUAUUCAUAUUUAUUAAAAUCUUGUUGGAAUAAACUUUACUUGAAUUCCUCUCAUGUAAGAGUACAGGUGCUCAUCUUGCUAGGAACCAAGUAACAUGACCAACAAUUAAAAAUUAAAGAGGAAACUUAUGACAGCUGUAUUUAAUAAUUAGACUGAAAACUAUUUAUGUACUAUCUAUUAGAUUCCUUCACCAAUAUAUAUAAAAUAAUAACAAAAAUCUUUGCAAAAACAGGGGCAUUCCGAGAAUCGAACUCGGGACCUCUCGCACCCAAAGCGAGAAUCAUACCACUAGACCAAAUGCCCGCUGAUAUGUAUCUUGCUACCAAUAUAUAGAAGUACUUAGAACUGGAUUGAUUUAUUUUCUUUUAUAAUUUCUCCUGUUUCUUUUGCUUAAUUAACUUCGUUUAUGUUUAUCUUUACUUUGCCUUUACCUUAGAGCACAUUUUUCUUUGGUGUUGUAAAACUUAUAUAUGAUAGAAUACAGUAUUUACUUGAAUGGGAAAAAAUAAAACUGCACUCUUAUAAAUGAAUCAGGUGGUCUCAGAAUUUAGUUGUGUGUCAUACUUGCUUUGGGAUGACUGAUCAUAUGAUGGUGUUCUCAAGGAUUCAAUGUUUAUCAUAUCCUUCAUGACUAGUGAUUGCUCAUGUAUGGGUUUUCAAAUCUGGUCUGGAUGAAAACAUGGUCUCUUUUCAUUUGUAGAGAUCUUAAUAAAAAAUUGAGAUGUGUGAAGCUGUUUUUAGUCUUCUUAAAAACUUGCUGGAGUAGUAUUUUAGAUUGAAAAUGGAAUAGUUACCAGAUUCAUAUGCAAGGCGUGAUAAUAAAAAAUAUGUAAAACAUGUUCCAAAAAAAUUGGGGUAUUACGAGAAUCAAACUCGGGACUCUCGCAUCCAAAGCGAGAAUCAUACCUCUAGACCAAAUGCCCCCUGAUGUUUAUCUUGCAGCCAAUAUGCUUAACACAGAUUAAUUUCUUUUGUUCUAUAAUUUCUCUUGUUUCUAUGCAUAAUUAACAUCUUUCAUGUUCCAUUUCUCUUCUCUAAUUUGUUUGUUUUGAAAGUCAGUGCAGCUUUCACCUGUGUUAUAAAACUCCAAUAUAAUAGAAGAUCUUAUUUACUGAGAAGGAAAAAAAAUAAAAAUUGUCUUUUUGUUCUGUUAUUAAUGAUCAAGUCGGUUUAGGAAUUUUGUAGUGUAUCAUACUUGCUUUGUGAUCACCUGUCAAAUGAUGAUGUUGUCAAGGAUUCAUUGAUUAUUGUAUCUUUCAUCGGUAAGGUUUAUUUUUAUGACUUUUCAAAUCUGGUCUGGAUGAAAGCAUGGUCUCUUUUCCAUAUCAGAUCUUAAAAAAAUUGAGUUGUGUGAAUUAUUACUGUGUACUAAUGCAAUUGUUUGUAAGUCAGGACAAGAAACUAUAUUUUUGGCUUAGGAAUUUUGAUGUUUUGUUUUAAUCUCUAUCUUACCACGGUUUUCCUCCGCCAUAAGUGAGGCUCCCUACUAAAUUUGGGAGGAGGUCAGUCUAAGACAUCUGACCUCUGUCUCUUUUUCAAAAAAAAAAAAAGGAAAGUAUGUAAAAUAUUAAAAUUGGAAGCUCUUUGCAGUAUUUGUACUAACUUGAUGGAGUAGUAUUUUAGAUCCAAAACUGAAUAUUGUACUAGUUAUUAGAUUCCCUUUUCAAGGGCUGAUAAAAUAAAUAUAAAACAUGUUUGAAAAAAAUGGGGCAUUCCGAGAAUCGAACUCGGGACCUCUCGCACCCAAAGCGAGAAUCAUACCACUAGACCAAAUGCCCACUGAUGUUUAUCUUGCAGCCAAUAUGCUUAACACAGAUUAAUUUCUUUUGUUCUAUAAUUUCUCUUGUUUCUAUGCAUAAUUAACAUCUUUCAUGUUCCAUUUCUCUUCUCUAAUUUGUUUGUUUUGAAACUCAGUGCAGCUUCCACCUAUGUGUUAUAAAACUCCAAUAUAAUAGAUCUUAUUUACUGAAAAGGAAAAAAAAAUUGUCUUUUUGUUCUGUUAUUAAUGAUCAAGCCGGUUUAGGAAUUUUGUAGUGUAUCAUACUUGCUUUGUGAUCACCUGUCAAAUGAUGAUGUUGUCAAGGAUCAAUUGAUUAUUGUAUCUUUCAUUGGUAAGGUUUAUUUUUAUGACUUUUCAAAUCUGGUCUGGAUGAAAGCAUGGUCUCUUUUCCAUAUCAGAUCCUAAAAAAAAUUGAGGUGUGUGAAUUAUUACUGUGUACUAAUGCAAUUGUCUGUAAGUCAGGACAAGGUUAUGCUGAAAGUAUGUUAAAUAUUAAAAGUGGAAGCUCUUUGCAGUAUUUGUACUAACUUGAUGGAGUAGUAUUUUAGAUCCAAAACUGAAUAUUGUACUAGUUAUUAGAUUCCUUUUUCAAGGGCUGAUAAAAUAAAUAUAAAACAUGUUUGAAAAAAAAUUGGGGCAUUCCGAGAAUCGAACUCGGGACCUCUCGCACCCAAAGCGAGAAUCAUACCACUAGACCAAAUGCCCGCUGAUAUUUUUCUUGCUACCAAUAUAUGUAAGUAAUUAAAACUGGUUUGAUUUUUUUUCUUUCAUAUUUUCUCCUGUUUCUUUUGCUUAAUUAACUUCUUUUAUGUUUUUUUUUCUACUUUGUUCACAUUUUUCUUUGGUGUUGUAAAUCUUGUAUAUGAUAGAAUACAGUCUUACCUGAAGGGAAAAAGAAAAUUGUACUCUUAUAAAUGAAUCAGGUGGUCUCAGAAUUUAGUAGCGUGUCGUACUUGCUUUGCUAUGUGAUGACUGAUCAUAUGAUGGUAUUCUUAAAUUAGGUUUUUCUUGUUUGACCUUUUUAAAUCUGGUCUAGAUGAAAAAUGGUCUCUUUUCAUUUCCAGAUCCUAAUAAAAUAUUAAGAUGUGAUCGAACAAUUCAGUCUUUUGCUAAAGCAGGGGAAGGUUUAUGCUUAAAGUAUGUAUUAAAUAUGGAAGCUGUUGGUUGCCUUCCUAGUAACUUGAUGGAGUAGUGAGUCAACGGAAUACUGUAGUAAUUACUAGAUUCCUUUACAAGAUUGAUAAAAUAAAUGUAAGAAAAAAUAUUUUUAUGAAAUGGGGGCAUUCCGAGAAUCGAACUCGGGACCUCUCGCACCCAAAGCGAGAAUCAUACCACUAGACCAAAUGCCCACUGAUUUUUAUUUGCAGCUAAUAUUUUUAAUGCAGGAUUGAUUUCUUUUGUUUAUUUAUUUAUCCUAUUGCCUUGCUUAGUUAAUUAACUUUUAUGUUUCUUCUCUACUUUGUUUGUUAUUAACCUUACUGCAGAUUUUGCCUUGUUAUUGUAACACUUAUACAUAUAAGAAGAUCGUAUUAACUUGAAAGGAAAAAUAAUAAUCUGCACUCUUAUAAAUGAAUCAGAUGGUCUCAGAAUUUUGUAGUGUAUUAUUGUUGCCUUGUGAGGUCCGAUCAUAUUAUGGUGUUAUCAAGGAUUCAAUGUUUUUAGUAUCCUUCAUAGGUUAGGUUUCUCUUGUAUGACUUUUCAAAUCUGAUUUCAUUUUCAGAUUCUAAUAAAAAAAAAUAUGUGAAUGAAUUACAGUUCAAUAUUGCAGUGUGUUAUGCUUAAAGUGCUUAAAAUUAAAAUUCAAAGCUGCUGCAGUCUUUAUUAUUUUAGAUCCAAAACUUAAUAUUUUUCUAGUUAGCAGAAGUAAAUGAAAAACAUUUUUAACAGAAAUGGGGGCAUUCCGAGAAUCGAACUCGGGACCUCUCGCACCCAAAGCGAGAAUCAUACCACUAGACCAAAUGCCCAUGAAUGGUUAUCUUGCAACCAAUGUGUUUAAAACAUGCUUAGUUUCUUUUGUUUUGUAAUUUCUUAUGUUGUUCUUCUUAAUUAAGUUAUUUUAUGAUGUAUUUUUUUUUAUACAUUUUCGGAUUUUGUGUUUUGUCUUAUUAUAUGUUUGGACCAAUGUUUUGUAAAAUGAUUCAAAUAGAACUCUAAACCUGAUUUUGGCCAGAUUUUUUUCAACUGAAAUCACAAAUAAUUCAUCAAAGUAAUAAUUCAGAACAAAAAUAAAAUCAUUCUGCUUAAAAAUUGUGUUUUUAUAUUCAAUUUUUUCUUCAUUAAAAUUGAGUUUAGGGAUCUAUUUGAACUAUUUUACAAAAUAUAGUAUCUGAAAAUAAAUUUUUUAAAACAGUCCAAACAAAUAAUAAAUCUUUUUUUUUCUUUGUUUGUUUUAAACUUAUAGCAACUUUUGCCUUGGUGUAGUAUCACUCAUGCAUAAUAGAAGAUUAUUUUUUUGUUCUCUUUUUUUUUUACUUGCAAGAAAAACAAAAUUGCACUCUUAUAAAUGAAUCAAGAAGUCUUGAAAAUUUGCAGUGCAUCAUAUUGUUAGGUGAUGACUGGUCCUAUGAUGGUGUUAUCAAGGAUUCAAUGAUAGUGAAAUUAUGGAACUCAUGGGCUGGUUUCUCUGGUAUGACCUUUUCAAAUAUUGUCUGAAUGAAAGAGUGAUCUUUUGGGUGUUUUUCUUUUGCAAGACCUUUUGUGAACUAUGUUUGUCCUUUGUUGCUUUUUAAUUUUUUAUUUUACCAGAGUGGAUCUUACAGUAUGUAAGUUGAAAAAGUUUAUUUCCUCUUGCUAAAAAGUUUCUGAGAUGAAUGAGAUUACAGGUAAGUUUUAGCAUUGUCAACUAUUCAUUAAAGCUUUAUUGGAUUAAAAUAUGUCUGCAUGUAAGAUCGCAGGUGUGCAUUUGACUGUAAACCAAUAGAUCUGCAUUGAAUAUUAAAAUAAAAAAUAAUUUCACAUGCA